AUCCAAUGGGAAGGAGCGUUUAAAGAAUAUGAUAUACCCAUUCCACUGAGCUUCCUCCCAACUGAACUGGGCUGAGAGCUCAUAAACCCACCCCAUAAAUUCAACCGAACGAAAGAUCCAUACUUUGAUUUGAUAUUUAUUGAACGAAACUUUCUUUGACUCGGGUCAAUCUUGGUAAAGGACAAACGAUUGAUGAAUGGG
rnacentral:lncRNA from 1 species